AUUUGAUUUAAUUGUGGUACAUGUUAAAUGAGCAAUUUUAUUUGUUUAUUUUAUGUCCGAUUGAGUAGUUAGAUAUUUUGUUUAUUAGACUUUUUAUAAAUCAAAGGUUUGUUUUAUUUGAGCCCAAAAGUUUUAUCAAAUUUAAAUUACUCAAAGUAUUCAAAUUUUGGUAUUUUUUCUAAUUCUGUCGGGUUCAAAUAUAUUAAAAUCUCGCAAAUGAUUAUUUUAAUUAUUUCCCAUUUGAAAGUGAUUUGGAGCAUUAUCUGUGAGAAAUAUUAACUUUUCUAUAUAUUGUGUCUUCGAUGAUGGUAUUAUUUUUAGAGAAUUGUACUUUUAAAAUUGGGAAUAAAUUUUGGGACUCUUAAAUUAUUUUUAUUGCUAAGAGAGCUUUUUAUUUAAAAAGUGGGGGCCUGAUUUUGUUAAAUAUAUAUAGCUUUCUAAAAACCUUUUAGUUUAUAAAAUCAGUUUAUAAACAGUCGGUGCAAUACAGAUUGGGGAUCGAGAGCAAAACUAGGGUUCCUCUCUUCCCUUCGAUUUUAAUAGAUAAUCGAUUAAAUCUGGUAUAUACAGGUGAGAAUCGUGUGUAUCUCGUAUGUGUGUAUUCAUAUAUAAUUGUUGUAUGCUUGAAUCGGAGUGGGUGAUGGUGUGGGGCGGCGAUGGAUGGAGGUGAGAAGUCGGCGGAAGAGC
rnacentral:lncRNA from 1 species